rnacentral:lncRNA from 1 species
GUUGGCACUCCAACUUUUGGAAUGAAUCUCCCCUUGGGAAGAAGUAUUUGGUGAUUGCUGUUGGGAGUUAUCAUUAACAAUCUGGGAAUCAUCUAAAUUCAUACCGGAUUUUGAUGAUGGAAAUUGAAGGCGUUGAUCAGAAAGGGUUGAUUUGUGGUGAUGAUCUGAGGAACAUCACACUCGCCUCUAUAUCUCUCUUGAGAUUGAGCAGCUCAUGAGCAAUUCACUCUAAAAUACAACAGCAACCACAACAUAUAGAAGAUUGCAUGCGUCUACAAUGUGUUCGAUGAAAACCCCAAGUAGAAAUUUUGAAGUUGACUUACUAAAUUAGUACAUGGGAACUGAGGGUUUUUGAAUCAACAGGAAUAACUUACGUUCUUGAGCAAAAGCAACAAGGUAAAGAUCCAUGAAAGCUUAUACCAGUCGAUGACAGCGACGACCCUCUUGCGCAAAGAUGAUUGGUGCAUUUAUGAUGUGAGGGAGGAAGAUCCAAAGACAUUUUACCUAAAAUAGACGGAAAACUGGUAGUGGGUGCAACGGUGGAUCGCAGAAAAUUGGAAAAAAGGAAUUGCCGUCCUAUGAAGUAAAGAAAAAGGGGAGAGAUAGUGUGGUGGAG